rnacentral:lncRNA from 1 species
UUGGAAUGAAGAAGCAAUCACCAGAUGCACUUUCUUCUCAUCCCAAGUAAUAUUUGUUCUUUCAAGCAAUGGGUUGUUUCAGGAAGGAUCAAAGAACUUGCAGUUUUAUAUCAAUCACUUAAUCUUCAGGGAAGCUAACAUUGAACCAGCAAUGUCAUCACAUACGGUGCACAACCCAACAAGCAGAAAAUUGACUGAAGCAGCAUGUCAUUGCAAUUCUUACUCCACUUUUUGUUUAGAUAUUACUGGAGCAAGCAAUUUUUUGAUAGGCUAACAUGUUUUGUUUAUAUACACCUAGACCAACUAGAACAACUACUUUUUGGAAAAUAUUCCAGCAACAACUGUAAAUAAGUAAACCUUGGAUAGCCUAUUUUUUGAACACUCCACUAUGAUAAGAUCAUCCUUUGUUUUAGAUGAUCUGC